rnacentral:rRNA from 1 species
CGCUGGCGGCAGGCUAACACAUGCAAGUCGAGCGGUAGCACAGAGAGCUUGCUCUCGGGUGACGAGCGGCGGACGGGUGAGUAAUGUCUGGGAAACUGCCUGAUGGAGGGGGAUAACUACUGGAAACGGUAGCUAAUACCGCAUAACGUCGCAAGACCAAAGUGGGGGACCUUCGGGCCUCAUGCCAUCAGAUGUGCCCAGAUGGGAUUAGCUAGUAGGUGGGGUAAUGGCUCACCUAGGCGACGAUCCCUAGCUGGUCUGAGAGGAUGACCAGCCACACUGGAACUGAGACACGGUCCAGACUCCUACGGGAGGCAGCAGUGGGGAAUAUUGCACAAUGGGCGCAAGCCUGAUGCAGCCAUGCCGCGUGUAUGAAGAAGGCCUUCGGGUUGUAAAGUACUUUCAGCGAGGAGGAAGGCGUUAAGGUUAAUAACCUUGGCGAUUGACGUUACUCGCAGAAGAAGCACCGGCUAACUCCGUGCCAGCAGCCGCGGUAAUACGGAGGGUGC